AUGGAGUCCCUGCUUGCGGCGCUCCCGGCGGGCGGAGGAGGUGCGGUCGCUGCCGCUGCCGCGGCCGUCGGCGGGCUGGCCGCGGCCGCCGCGCUCGCCGCCAAGGCCGGCGUCGUCGGGACGGGCCGCACCAACGCGCCCCCAGCUGUUCCUGGUUUACCUCUUAUUGGAAAUCUGCACCAGUUAAAAGAGAAGAAACCCCAUAAGACCUUCGCAAAAUGGUCUGAUAUUUAUGGGCCAAUAUACACCAUAAAGACUGGGGCUUCAUCAGUAGCUGUGCUCAACUCUUCUGAAGUAGCCAAGGAGGCUAUGGUUGCGAAAUACUCAUCCAUUUCUACUCGUAAGCUACCUAAAGCAUUGUCAGUGCUGACUCGUGAUAAAACGAUGGUUGCUACAAGUGACUACGGUGACUUCCACAAAAUGGUGAAGCGUUUAGUUAUGUUGGGCAUGUUGGGCUCUUCUGCUCAGAGACAAUUUAGGGACACAAGAGACAUGAUGAUGGACAACAUGUUAAGCACUUUCCAUACGUUGGUGACUGACGACCCACAUUCUCCUCUGAACUUCAGAGAAGUUUUCAAGGACGAGCUGUUCCGCCUGUCCUUGAUCCAGAGUUUAGGCGAGGAUGUGGGUUCAGUUUAUGUGAAGGAGUUUGGGAGGGAGAUAUCGAAGGAUGAAAUCUACCAGAUCACUGUGGUUGACAUGAUGAUGUGUGCAAUCGAUGUUGAUUGGAGGGAUUUCUUCCCAUACCUCAGCUGGAUUCCCAACAAAAGCUUCGAAAACAGAGUACUUAUCACAGAAUCUAGGCGAACCGCGGUGAUGCAAGCCUUGAUCCAUCAACAGAAGAAAAGAAUUGCGCGCGGCGAGGUGGCCAGGGCAUCCUAUCUGGACUUCUUGCUGGCAGAGAAGGCACUGACAGACGAACAGUUGAUGAUGCUGGUGUGGGAGGCAGUCAUCGAGGCUGCAGAUACUACUUUGGUGACGACCGAGUGGGCAAUGUAUGAGCUUGCUAAAAACCCAGAAAAACAGGAUCGGCUCUACCAGGAGAUCCGGGAGGUGUGCGGCGACGAGACGGUCACCGAGGAUCACGUGCCACGGCUGCCGUACCUCAGCGCCGUGUUUCAUGAGACGCUAAGGUUCCAUUCUCCUGUCCCACUGGUGCCUCCAAGGUUUGUCCAUGAGACCACCAAACUGGCCGGCUACGACGUCCCAGCCGGCACCGAGAUAGUCAUCAAUCUGUUCGGGUGCAACAUGAACAAGAAGGAUUGGGAGGAGCCCGAGGAUUGGAGGCCGGAGAGGUUCAUGGAUGGGAGGUUCGAGGCCGCGGACAUGUACAAGACCAUGGCAUUCGGCGCCGGGAGGAGGUCCUGCGCCGGGAGCCUGCAGGCGACGACCAUCUCGUGCGCUGCCAUUGCGCGCUUCGUGCAGGACUUUGCCUGGAGGCUCAAGGAAGGCGACGAGGACAAGGUGGACACCGUGCAGCUCACCAGCUACAAGCUCCAUCCGUUGUACGUGUAUCUCUCACCGAGAGGGAGGAAGUGA
rnacentral:rRNA from 1 species